GGAGGUAUCAGCCAGUGGCUGAAUGCGUGCCUAGCAUGCAUGAGGCCCUGGGUUCAAUCCCCAGUACCUCCU
rnacentral:tRNA from 1 species